rnacentral:rRNA from 1 species
CACGUAGGCACCAAGCGUUGUCCGGAUUUAUUGGGCGUAAAGAGCUCGUAGGCGGUUCAGUAAGUCGGGUGUGAAAACUCUGGGCUCCAACCAGAGACGCCACCCGAUAUUGCUGUGACUUGAGUACGGUAGGGGAGUGGGGAAUUCCUGGUGUAGCGGUGAAAUGCGCAGAUAUCAGGAGGAACACCAGUGGCGAAGGCGCCACUCUGGGCCGUAACUGACGCUGAGGAGCGAAAGCGUGGGUAGCAAACAGG